rnacentral:rRNA from 1 species
UACGUAGGGUGCAAGCGUUAAUCGGAAUUACUGGGCGUAAAGCGUGCGCAGGCGGUUUUGUAAGACUGUCGUGAAAUCCCCGGGCUUAACCUGGGAACUGCAUUUGUGACUGGCGGGCUAGAGUAUGGCAGAGGGGGGUAGAAUUCCACGUGUAGCAGUGAAAUGCGUAGAGAUGUGGAGGAAUACCGAUGGCGAAGGCAGCCCCCUGGGCCAAUACUGACGCUCAUGCACGAAAGCGUGGGGAGCAAACAGG